rnacentral:rRNA from 1 species
CUUACCUACGGGACGCAGCAGUGAGGAAUAUUGGUCAAUGGCCGAAGGGCUGAACCAGCCAAGCCGCGUGAAGGAAUAAGGCCCUACGGGUCGUAAACUUCUUUAGUCAGGGAACAAAGGGUGCCACGCGUGGCGCUGUGAGUGUACCUGAAGAAUAAGCAUCGGCUAACUCCGUGCCAGCAGCCGCGGUAAUACGGAGGAUGCGAGCGUUAUCCGGAUUUACUGGGUGUAAAGGGAGCGUAGACGGCUGCGCAAGUCUGAAGUGAAAGCCCGGGGCUCAACCCCGGGACUGCUUUGGAAACUGG